CGAAGUAAUAUCUAGUUACGCAAUCAUUAUUUCUAGUUAAGUAAGAUAUUUAACCCUUUUACAUAAAACUUUUAGAAAAUAUUAACAAAUAGUUGUGAAAACAUGAAAAAUCCUCCUGCUUCUAACUCUAAAAACUCCCAAAUUUCUUUUUCUUUACUUUAUAGAGUCAGAUACCCUACCAAGCUUGUUAAUUUUAUAUUAUUAAGGCUUGAAAGUGGUAAAUAAGUAAUAUUGAAAUACAUAUAGUCAAAUAAGUCAUAGAAAGUGGACUUCCACACUGUUUGGCAUAUGGACUUCAUGACUCAAUUGGAACUUAUGAUCCAAGGGAUAGUAUCUAGGAUACAAAUCUAAACCUUAUGAUCCUAAGUAUGAUCUAUACUAUGAGACCUGACGAGAAACUUAACUAUGCAACUUAAGGAUGCUGACUCUGCAAAAAAAUGUAAAAAUCAGAGCAUCAAAACAUAUUAUGCAAAACCAAAGAGUGACAUAGGAAUAAGACUGCAGUGGAAUAAACAUUAACGAUUAUGUUA
rnacentral:lncRNA from 1 species